UACAGAGGUCCCGAGCGUUGUUCGGAUUCACUGGGCGUAAAGGGUGCGUAGGUGGCCUGAAAAGUUUGAUGUGAAAGCUCAGGGCUUAACCCUGAAAUGGCAUUGAAUACUGUCGGGCUGGAGGUUUGGAGGGGGGACUGGAAUUCUUGGUGUAGCAGUGAAAUGCGUAGAUAUCAGGAGGAACACCGGUGGCGAAGGCGGUUCUCUGGGCCUUACCUGACGCUGAGGAGCGAAAGCGUGGGGAGCAAACAGG
rnacentral:rRNA from 1 species